UGUGUGUGUGUGUGUGUGUGUGUGUAUGCAUACAUAUCGAUAAUUGGAGAUUUUUUUUAAAUAGCAAAAAAAAUAGUCUCCAUAUGUAUGUGCUGGUGCUCCUAAAACUUUAAUGUGUAGUUUUAAUUUUCAUGACAAUGUCUGUGAAAACUUUAUAUGAAUAUUUAAAAAAUACAAACAAAUACUUUCUGACCUUGAAAGAAAGGACAUGAAGAUGUGUGCCCAACAGCUUGUUUUCAUCUAUAAUUUCAUAAGGACUUUUAAUAUACCAUUACCAUGCUUGCAUGCAUCCAUGGGUUAAAGGGCUCCUAAUGCAUACUGACAGGAUAAAGAUGAAAAGGUUUAUCCUGUCAAUAAAGUGUGGAUGGAUUGAAAAAUCUUAAGUAGACACUUAUGGGAGGAAUCAAAAAGCUCCAUCCAUGAUCUGGGGAUCAUAGGUCACUGGGAUGAUGCAUUUUAUUCAGUGUGGUUAUGCUUUGAAGAUGAUUCAAGGUUUCUGCAAUUGUCAAUGGCAGGAGUACCUGCCACUAUCUCAAAGCGUCCUGUAGCAUAUUGGUUAUCUCAAACUCUUCUGCUGAAAGGUGUAAAUGUUCAACUUUUUAAAAAGUAAUUUAAAUGUAUGUGGUUAUUUGGAGGAUCUAAUUGUAAGUGAAUGACAGUAACAAAUUCUUGGUUAAGGUUGAUAUAUUCUCCUUAACUAAAGUCAUUGUGCCUACAUUAUACAGUGUAUACUAUUUUGCACCUGUCUCUCAUUAGUUCUACUUGUAUAUUUUAUGAUAAUGUUGUUAGGCAUAAGUUUUUAGUUGAGUACAAGAGCGGUUAAAAUUCUGUAUCUACAUUUUCUUGACUUCAACUAUAACCUUGAUGUUAGUUUAACCCCUGCAGAAGUGAUAUAUAUGUCAAUACAGCAUUUUUGGUUUUGAUUCAAAUAUAGAAAAUACAAGAAGUGUUCAUUUCUAAUGUGGUCUGACACAUCGUGGGCUUCUUGGCACUGUAUCAUGUGCUUGGACUCUAUUAGAAUAGUUGCAAAGUAAAUUAUAGCAUAUAAAUCAGUGAAGGGGUUGAGACAAUAUAUUAUGUUCAUGUAAUAUAAAUCAAGUUUUAAAUUAUUUUUUUAUGAAGUCAAUAAAGAUGAUUCAAUUCUUUAAAAGUAAAUCUUUUGUGUAAUUUUAUGAGAAAGCAGCUAUUAAAAUAUAGUGAUUGAAGUCUAUAAGGCAAUUUAUAUUCUAUAUUUAGUUUUCCAUUCUGCAUAAUAAACUCAAUAAAUAUAUUAAUUAGAAAAUCAUUUAAGACCAACAUUAUUUUGUUGCUUUUAAAAACAUUUCAUUUCUUUAAGCCAUAAGAAUGCAUAAAUUACACAGGGCAUGGCCUCAUGAGUAAUGUCAACAGGUUUUGCUGAAAUAAGAGAACACAUCUAGAAAUGUAUGGCAGUAAUAUUAAUCUAUAAUAUCUUUUGCAUGAUUUGUACAUUGACACUGUAUGAAAUGAGCACAGUGAGGUUUUUUUGUUGUUGUUGUUGUUAUUGUUGUCACAUCCAAAGAGCUGGGGGAGAAAAUAUAUUAAAAUGUAUUUAUAAUCACUAUUUUGAAAUAAAGUAAAGAAAACACAUUGUAUUGUUUUUACCCUGAUUUGAUUAUUAGUAAUCAAACAGAAAGGAACUGUUUUAAUGACUUUUGUUUGCUUUUAAUAACAUCAAGGUAUUAGAGAAAAUUUAUUAAAUGCCAUUUUUAUGAAAGUAUUAAUAAAAUUGUUUGCUACAAUGGUAUUUCUGAAGCCACAGUUUGUUAAAUAUAUUUAUCUUUCCAUUAUUUUUCAGAAGAAAUAAAGCAGUAACCGAACUGAUCUUUUCAUCUAGAUUUGAGGGUCUUACGUGCUAUGAAACAUACUUUGGGAAAUCCCGACUAAUUGGAAUCUCAAGUACCUCUAACUCCAAGUAUUUAUGAUUUCAUGAUUCUAUUAUUGGCCAUGAAGACCCAAGAGAAGGCUACUAUGUGUAUACAUCCUUAUCCUAUGUUCUUGGCCUAAUUAAUCUGUCUGGAGUAUUUACUGUCUGCCACUUGGGUUCCAGUGCAAGAAAAAAGGUCCUCGC